rnacentral:lncRNA from 1 species
CGUUGGCGCUGCAACCAUCUUGACUUGGAAUCAACCACCCUAUAGGCCAGGACUUCGUCGUCCGCGGGACGCUGGGGGGCGCCUGCCGACUGGCACCGGCGGCUAGCUCCGCACGAAUGGGAAAUCCCGGGCUCCGCUCGCCAACCUGUUACUGCUGCAGAACGCCAGGAAGCUCAGCCUGAUCCCACAGAUUAGGGUAAAAUAUCCCGGGGGGCCGAAGUGGAAACCGGAGUUGCGUCAUUGCUCCCACCCGAUAUCACCUUGGCAGCGACCGCGGCUGACCACGUUCCCGGCCUGUCGCGAAUCUCACCCAAGGGAGCUGAGUCUCAGCUUCCCUGGUCCCUGGUCCCGAGUUCCGCCUUCCCCCCCCGCCCCGUGGCAUCGGCGUGAGGGGAAAAGAUAAAGACUACCUCCUGAGACCUGGAAUUGUGGAUGGCUGCGGAAAACUCACCACAGGAAAUUUUGGCUUAAAGUUAUUCUCUGCUUCCCUUGACUGUGUGAUAGGCACCGCUCUAUCUGCUAGAGGACAGGUGAAAAAGAUGGGGUUCCCUCUUCUUAGAACUCACUGUGCAGUGGGAGAAUGUAUAAAUAAAUAGUAAUUACAACAUAAUCUUCUGGAAUAGAAAUGCUCACAAAAUCAUCCAGCAGUCGAUGACCUCCUUUAGCCAGGGAAGAUAUUGCUAUUCGCCUCUUACAGAGGAGGAAACCAUGGCUCAGAGGGACAAGGUGAAAGGGUGGGAAAUUGAGGCAUAGAAAGUUUAAGUGAUAUGCCCAACAUGACUCAGCUAAUCAAUGAAGGACUAGUGCUAGAGCCCAGCAAAUCUGCUGGUGCAAUGGUCUCUGAACCAUUUCUGAGACAGCUAUGCUGGACUACAUCAUAACCAGCCCCUCACAACUCAAUAAUAGGGUUAAAAGAAAUAGACUGAGAUUAAAUAGAAGGAAGAACCUUCCAACAGUGAAGUUUGUUAAGCACUGCAACAGUUCAUUAUGGAGGUAUCAUGGCAACUUUCUGGGAAGACUUAAACAAAAGACAGAAGAGAGGCAUAGCGUUUGAUUGAACUUGGGAAUGGACCAUUUAUUCUGAGAAACAGAUGAAGUGCCCCUUUAGAGGUCCUGCCAGUCUGAUGGAUGGAUUCUCUACCUGUAAUGAAAGUAAUAGGAAGGAUCCCCUUGCCCAAAGCAUCGUGGGAAAGCUAGCGGUGAUUCUUGUGGGAAGAAAAGCAUAAGAGGAAAUUUCCAACCACCAAUACCUUGGGACAUUCUCUGCAAGUCCCAUGAGCCUCUGAAAGAGGUUGAACACUCAGAAGUCACUUUUGUGGUGCUUGACUGGCCUGACAUCUUGCAAAUAAACCUUAUCAAAAGAUGGUGGAAGAUGCGUACUAAGUAUUCCGUAGUAACUGAGAGUUAGUCUUUUUUCACAGCCUUUGUUGGAGGAGAGCCUUUUCAGACAUGAAGAGUAAAAAAUACCGUUCCAUUGUACAACUGAUGUGCAGAGUUGUCAAGGUUUCUACAGCUGAGGAGUGUCAGAGCUACUGGACCCAGAUCUUCUCUCUGCACAUCCCACUGUUUCAUGCUGCCUCUAAAAAACAAAAAAAAAAUUUCCAUGCAUGCACUUUUCACAGAGUUGAAGAACUCAGAGGUUCUGCGUUUGGCAGAUGGGCAAGAUUAUAGAUGUCAUCACGGUCCCCAGCACAUGCCGUCAUCAGCCCCGUCACCUUGUCUGUAACCAUGUUCUUCCCAUAUUCCCCCAAUACCUGAACUGUUCUCUCUCAUCCACCUCUCCAGACCCUCUCCUCUUUCAGGUCCUGCCUAUUCCAUCAGGCUUUUCCAACAUCUCCAGGAAAGGAACUGUCAAUUCUCUGGUCUUUGUAGCGCAUGCAUUUUCUAUAUUGCAUGGUUUGGCACCUGCUAAUGAACCAUCUUGUAUUUACAUUGAACAAAGAUAGAUUUUUUUUUGCCUGUUUUAUUCUUAGAAGGAAGGUUAUUUUGUGAAAGUAGAAAAGCAACAUCAUAUGAGAUUCACUUCUCCUGUGUUCUGUUGUAAUCCCUAAUUGUCUCUGGACCCUACUUCUCCCUAGCCAGGUACACAACUGGAAAGGGAGGUUGCUGUCCCACACCGUGUUCUCUUGAUGCCUCGAUGACAAGCACCAUUCCUGCACUACAGAGUUAAUAGUUUUAAAUUCCCCUAUCUUGACUUCUCCAUAAACCAGGUACCAGAACCUCUGCAGAAGACAUUAAUUUUUCUUUUCCCUGAAGUUAACAUUUCUCAUAUUCUCACUUAUCCCUGGGAUGGGUAGUGGUCUUUAUUGGGAUGUACAGAUUGUUUUUUGUCAGUACUCAUCUCUGCCAAAUUACAUCAGGGAAUAUCUCGUAAGCACUUGCUUGGUUAAUAUUAGCCAAGUCUGGUGGUGUGCUAGAUACUCUGCUAUAGUGCUAUAGACUCAAAAAUCUAUAUAGAAACAAAAGAGCCCUUCCCGGUGCAUCUGACUUUGAUGGAAAGAUUCCAGAGGUACUAGGCUGAGGAUUUCGUUUCAUUC